GAUGAACGCUGGCGGCGUGCCUAAUACAUGCAAGUCGAGCGAACGGACGAGAAUCUUGCUUCUCUGAUGUUAGCGGCGGACGGGUGAGUAACACGUGGAUAACCUACCUAUAAGACUGGGAUAACUUCGGGAAACCGGAGCUAAUACCGUAUAAUAUUUUGCACCGCAUGGUUCAAAAGUAAAAUACGGUCUUGCUGUCACUUAUAGCUGGAUCCGCGCUGCAUUAGCUAGUUGGUAAGGUAACGGCUUACCACGGCAACGAUGCAUAGCCGACCUGAGAGGGUGAUCGGCCACACUGGAACUGAGACACGGUCCAGAGGCCUACGGGAGGCAGCAGUAGGGAAUCUUCAGCAAUGGGCGAAAGCCUGACGGAGCAACGCCGCGUGUGUGAUGAAGGUCUUCGGAUCGUAAAACUCUGUUAUUAGGGAAGAACAUAUGUGUAAGUAACUGUGCACAUCUUGACGGUACCUAAUCAGAAAGCCACGGCUAACUACGUG
rnacentral:rRNA from 1 species